UGCACCAUACAGAUCAAGAUCCAAGCAGUGCCCAGCUCGCCGAAGGGCCCAAUUCGUACAGGCCCAGGCCGAGACCCGGCUCAAUUCAGUAGACCCUUUUCGCUGGCCGGCGCCUCGCCAGUUGCCGCCUCCGUCCCUUCGCUUCCACCUCCUCCGUUCCUGAUCCCAAUCGAGCCGCGCAGCAUCCUCAUCAUUUGUGAACAUUUCAGUAGACUCUCCCUCAUUUCUCUUGAUCUUUUCGUUCUGACGCCUUUCUCCAAUCCUGUUCCAACCAUCCGUGUCUCUGACCUACUUCUGUUGCAAUUAACUGCUGUUCUUCCAUAAUGUUCCAAUUCUAUCCUAAUAGCAUAGAGUGAUGAAUUUGUUGUGACCAAAUAGCACAUUAUAAGUCGAAGACUUGAUAUUGUUAUGCACUAUACAUGAAUCUUCAAUGGCUGUGUAAAACCAUUUACAAAGUUGAUCUUGGAAAAAUAGUCUUCAAGAGCUACCUAAUUCAACUGGUAUAUUUCUGUAUCUAUAUAAGGAACUGCCAACAGAAGAAGUCAUGAAACACCUCAAAUUCGUAGAGACGUUGAGGUCUCGGCUAGCUGAUAGGAAGCAGAAAUUUGGAUGACCGGCAGCACUGUACGAAUAUAAUUCCAUACAAAGUGAUGACCAGUCUUGGCUGCAUUGUAGGAGUGAGCAUCUUAAUUUGAACUUUGUGUUUCUUGAGUAUUUUCUUAAUUGAAUUAUUUGAAUGGCUGCCUAUGACGAAAUUAUGAUUCUUUUAAAAAAUAUAAUUAAAUAUACGAGAACUACUGUUUCACCAUCCAAUUUUUAUC